rnacentral:rRNA from 1 species
AGACAGUGCCUACGGAAGGCAGCAGUGAGGAAUAUUGGUCAAUGGGCGCGAGCCUGAACCAGCCAAGUCGCGUGAGGGAGGACGGCCCUACGGGUUGUAAACCUCUUUUGCCGGGGAGCAACGGGCGUCACGUGUGGCGCCACUGAGAGUACCCGGAGAAAAAGCAUCGGCUAACUCCGUGCC